rnacentral:rRNA from 1 species
AUUGAACGCUGGCGGCAUGCUUUACACAUGCAAGUCGAACGGUAACAGGCCGCAAGGUGCUGACGAGUGGCGAACGGGUGAGUAAUGCAUCGGAACGUGCCCAGUCGUGGGGAUAACGCAGCGAAAGCUGCGCUAAUACCGCAUACGAUCUAUGGAUGAAAGCGGGGGACCGUAAGGCCUCGCGCGAUUGGAGCGGCCGAUGUCAGAUUAGGUAGUUGGUGGGGUAAAGGCCCACCAAGCCGACGAUCUGUAGCUGGUCUGAGAGGACGACCAGCCACACUGGGACUGAGACACGGCCCAGACUCCUACGGGAGGCAGCAGUGGGGAAUUUUGGACAAUGGGCGCAAGCCUGAUCCAGCAAUGCCGCGUGCAGGAAGAAGGCCUUCGGGUUGUAAACUGCUUUUGUACGGAACGAAACGGUCCUGUCUAAUACAUGGGGCUAAUGACGGUACCGUAAGAAUAAGCACCGGCUAACUACGUG